AUUGAACGCUGGCGGCAGGCCUAACACAUGCAAGUCGAGCGAGCGGCGGACGGGUGAGUAAUGUCUGGGAAACUGCCUGAUGGAGGGGGAUAACUACAGGAAGCGGUAGUUCAUACCGCAUCCCAUCAGAUGUGCCUAGAUGGGGUUAGCUAGUAGGUUGGGUAACUGCUCACCAAGGCGACGAUCCCUAGCUGGUCUGAGAGGAUGACCAGCCACACUGGAACUGAGACACGGUCCAGACUCCUACGGGAGGCAGCAGUGGGGAAUAUUGCACAAUGGGCGCAAGCCUGAUGCAGCCAUGCCGCGUGUGUGAAGAAGGCCUUCGGGUUGUAAAGCACUUUCAGCGGGGAGGCGUUACCAACAGAAGAAGCACCGGCUAACUCCGUGCCAGCAGCCGCGGUAAUUC
rnacentral:rRNA from 1 species